GCAGGGGCUUGAGCUGAGUGAGGCUGCAGAGGCGGGGCCCAAGCCGAAGGGCCGGACCCAAAUUAAGUCCCAGCCACUGGGCUGGAGGCGGGGCCAGUGUGGAGAUUGACAGGGGGCCGUCCUGGGAAAGCGCCCACGUGGCGCAGAAUUAGAGGCGGAGCCUACACGGUGACGCAAGGGCCGGAAGGAGGGACCCUGUGUCUGGAGAAGCGGGAGAUGGGGGCCUGGACCCCUGGGUCUGAGGGAGGAGGGGCUGGGGUCGUGAUUCCCGUGUUUGGGAGAAAAGGGGGUUGGGAGCUGGGACUCCUGGGGCCGAGGGAGGCCUUUGGGGCUCCCACUCAGUUUUGACGGUCUAAGGCCUGGGGGCCUGGAUUCUUGGUAGGGUUGGAGAUCUCAGGAGUGUCUUUCCACUGAUAGGAUUAUACAUUCUUUCCACUUAUAUGAUUAUUUUGAAAAUUAAAAAAUGAAACUUCUCUACUCCAAACUCACUUUCUAGGAGUUUCACUGUCAACAAUUUGGUGUGGACUUUAUGUUUUCUUUUUUCAGAUGGAGUCUUGCUCUGUCGCCCAGGCUGGAGUCCAGUGGUGUGAUCUCAGCUCACUUCAUCCUCCGCUUCCCGAGUUCAAGCAAUUCUCGUGCCUCAGCCUCCCGAGUAGCUGGGAUUACAGUGAGGAGAUUCCUUUCAUGAACCUUGUGGUCUGGAGUAAAAGAAGAGACCUACAUUCCUCUCUUAAGGCAAUGAGAGACGUUUAUGUCACUGGCUGCUGCCUCACUUUAGCAUAAAAGCAAAGUCCUCGCUGUGACCCACACAGCCCUUAGUGAUCUGGCCCCUGUCCCCUCUCAGCCUGCAUCUCUUUCCUCUCCUUUGGCCUCCCUGGUGCUCCUGGAACCUGCCAAGGACGUUUCUACUUCAGGGACUUUGCAUGUACUGUCCUCUCUGCCUGGAACUCUUUUCCCCCAUCUACAUGGCUUUCUGCCUCCCUUGGUCCUAUCUCUGCUCAGAUGUCAUCCUGGAAUGGAGUCUCCUGACCUCCUUGCCUCCACUUUAUAUGACUGUGAGGCUCUCUUGUUCCGAAUCCCAUCUCACCUAC
rnacentral:lncRNA from 10 species